CCUUAGGGUUGUAAAGCACUUUCAAUUGGGAGGAAAAAACGAGAGCCAAUACCUCUUGUCUUGACAUUACCUUUAGAAGAAGCACCGGCUAACUCCGUGC
rnacentral:rRNA from 1 species